AUUUGAGAGUUUGAUCCUGGCUCAGGACGAACGCUGGCGGCGUGCCUAAUACAUGCAAGUUGAGCGCUGAAGGUUGGUACUUGUACCGACUGGAUGAGCAGCGAACGGGUGAGUAACGCGUGGGGAAUCUGCCUUUGAGCGGGGGACAACAUUUGGAAACGAAUGCUAAUACCGCAUAAAAACUUUAAACACAAGUUUUAAGUUUGAAAGAUGCAAUUGCAUCACUCAAAGAUGAUCCCGCGUUGUAUUAGCUAGUUGGUGAGGUAAAGGCUCACCAAGGCGAUGAUACAUAGCCGACCUGAGAGGGUGAUCGGCCACAUUGGGACUGAGACACGGCCCAAACUCCUACGGGAGGCAGCAGUAGGGAAUCUUCGGCAAUGGACGAAAGUCUGACCGAGCAACGCCGCGUGAGUGAAGAAGGUUUUCGGAUCGUAAAACUCUGUUGGUAGAGAAGAACGUUGGUGAGAGUGGAAAGCUCAUCAAGUGACGGUAACUACCCAGAAAGGGACGGCUAACUACGUGCCAGCAGCCGCGGUAAUACGUAGGUCCCGAGCGUUGUCCGGAUUUAUUGGGCGUAAAGCGAGCGCAGGUGGUUUAUUAAGUCUGGUGUAAAAGGCAGUGGCUCAACCAUUGUAUGCAUUGGAAACUGGUAGACUUGAGUGCAGGAGAGGAGAGUGGAAUUCCAUGUGUAGCGGUGAAAUGCGUAGAUAUAUGGAGGAACACCGGUGGCGAAAGCGGCUCUCUGGCCUGUAACUGACACUGAGGCUCGAAAGCGUGGGGAGCAAACAGGAUUAGAUACCCUGGUAGUCCACGCCGUAAACGAUGAGUGCUAGAUGUAGGGAGCUAUAAGUUCUCUGUAUCGCAGCUAACGCAUUAAGCACUCCGCCUGGGGAGUACGACCGCAAGGUUGAAACUCAAAGGAAUUGACGGGGGCCCGCACAAGCGGUGGAGCAUGUGGUUUAAUUCGAAGC
rnacentral:rRNA from 2 species